GAUGAACGCUGGCGGCGUGCUUAACACAUGCAAGUCGAACGAAGCACUUGAAGCGGAUUCUUCGGAUGAAGUUUCCUGUGACUGAGUGGCGGACGGGUGAGUAACGCGUGGGUAACCUGCCUCAUACAGGGGGAUAACAGUUAGAAAUGGCUGCUAAUACCGCAUAAGCGCCCAGCAUCGCAUGAUGCAGUGUGAAAAACUCCGGUGGUAUGAGAUGGACCCGCGUUGGAUUAGCUAGUUGGCAGGGUACCGGCCUACCAAGGCGACGAUCCAUCGCGGGCCUGAGAGGGGGGACGGCCGAAUUGGGACUUAGACCCGGCCAAGACUCCUGCGGGUGGCAGCAGUGGGGAAUAGUGCACAAUGAGGGAAACCCUGAUGCAGCGACGCCGCGGGAGCGAAGACGUAUGUCGGGAUGUAAAGCUCUAUCAGCAGGGAAGAAAUUUGACGGUACCCACAGAGGAAGCACCGGCUAACUCCGUGCCAGCCGCCGCCGUAA
rnacentral:rRNA from 1 species